rnacentral:misc_RNA from 1 species
CCUGUUCGAGCGUCAUUACAACCCUCAAGCUCUGCUUGGUCGUGGGCUCCGCCGACUGGCGGGCCUUAAAACUAGUGGCGGUGCGUCGAGGCCCUGAGCGCAGUAAACAUCCUCGCUAUAGGGACCCGAUGGACGCUAGCCAUCAACCCCCACUUUCUAAGUUUGACCUCGGAUCAGGUAGGGAUACCCGCUGAACUUAA